rnacentral:rRNA from 1 species
UACGUAGGGUGCAAGCGUUGUCCGGAAUUAUUGGGCGUAAAGAGCUCGUAGGCGGUUCGUCGCGUCGGCUGUGAAAUCCCGAGGCUCAACCUCGGGUCUGCAGUCGAUACGGGCGGACUGGAGUUCGGCAGGGGAGACUGGAAUUCCUGGUGUAGCGGUGAAAUGCGCAGAUAUCAGGAGGAACACCGGUGGCGAAGGCGGGGUCUCUGGGGCAUUAACUGACGCUGAGGAGCGAAAAGCCAUGGGGGAGCGAACAGG